GGGGGGGGGGGGGGCUGUGUGUGACUGAUGGGUUGGGUGUGCGUCCCCCCCCUCUUCUCUUCCCAGCUGGAGCAGGCGGAGCGGCGGGGUGCUCGCGCCCGUGGCCGGGACCCCGAAAGACGUCGGAAACGCCGGGCGGAGCAGGGGUGACCUCCCCCCCCUGGCCAAGGAGGAGCUGGAGCCAAAGAGGAGUCGGGGUCCCGAGGGGGGGACCCCCCGGGACAGCCCCCCGCCUGGCCCCCAUGCCCCGGGGGACUCGUGACGUGGAGCCCCCAGCUCGGACGGACACACCUGCCAGCGGCCGGGAGGGAUUGGGGGGGGCCAUACUGGGCCUCCCCACCCCACCCUGGGACCCCCCAACCCCCCUCGGACUGGGGGGGGGCUCCCCCCCCUUCCUCCCUUACCCCCCUAUCCCCCCCCGCGAUGUAAUUAUUUGAGUUGAUUUCUUUUGUAUCCUUAAGCCCCGGGGGGGGGCCACACACACAGAUGGGGGUCCGGGGGUCCCCCCCGCCAAACCGGGGGGGACCCCAACCAGCACAGCAGGGCCAGCCCCCCCCCUCCUCGCACCGGGUUUUUUAUAGGGUUGGGGGGGGGUGGGGGAGAGGGGGGGGGGCGGAUUUGGGGCCCCCCUGCCCCCCCCCCGCCGACACUAACAGUCUUGGGCUCUUUGUAGCGGGACGGGGACGGGGGGCCUUAUUUUAUUGUAUUAUGAUUUUUUUUAUUAUUAUUAAACUUUGGAGGC